AGCUCGGGCUCGAUCGCCUUCAACCGGGCGGCGAGAGCCGUGCCCUGCAUGUCCGCGAGCGACACGUCGAUGAUGGCGGCACAGAUCUGCCGGGAGUGCGCGAGGAGGACGGCCUCUUCCCCGCGGGCGGUGUGGUAGGCGCGAAGUCCCUGCCGGACGAAGUGGCUGACGAGCUGGGCGGCGGAGUCGCGGUCGGCGUCAGCGAUCAGGAUCCAUCGCUGUUCGACCCGAUGCUUGCGUUCUGGUCCCACGGCAGCCCCGAUACUGCAUCGGGGGUGCCAUUGUGCAACUAUUUGAUUCUAAAGGAUCAAAACGUCAUUGAGGAUAUGGGAGUGCCGUCGUGUCACCCGGCCUCAGAUCAAUUAGGCACGGCCGUCAGGAGGAACUAUCGACGAAGGGG
rnacentral:misc_RNA from 1 species